rnacentral:rRNA from 1 species
CUACGGGAGGCAGCAGUAGGGAAUAUUGGUCAAUGGACGAGAGUCUGAACCAGCCAUGCCGCGUGCAGGAAGACGGCCUUCUGGGUUGUAAACUGCUUUUGACAGGGAAGAAAACGGCUAUGCGUAGCUAACUGACGGUACCUGUAGAAUAAGCACCGGCUAACUCCGUGCCAGCAGCCGCGGUAAUA